rnacentral:rRNA from 1 species
AGUGAACGCUGGCGGUAGGCCUAACACAUGCAAGUCGAACGGCAGCACAGUAAGAGCUUGCUCUUACGGGUGGCGAGUGGCGGACGGGUGAGGAAUACAUCGGAAUCUACUUUUUCGUGGGGGAUAACGUAGGGAAACUUACGCUAAUACCGCAUACGACCUACGGGUGAAAGCAGGGGAUCUUCGGACCUUGCGCGAUUGAAUGAGCCGAUGUCGGAUUAGCUAGUUGGCGGGGUAAAGGCCCACCAAGGCGACGAUCCGUAGCUGGUCUGAGAGGAUGAUCGGCCACACUGGAACUGGGACACGGUCCAGACUCCUGCGGGAGGCAGCAGUGGGGAAUAUUGGACAAUGGGCGCAAGCCUGAUCCAGCCAUACCGCGUGGGUGAAGAAGGCCUUCGGGUUGUAAAGCCCUUUUGUUGGGAAAGAAAAGCAGCAGGUUAAUACCCCGCUGUUCUGACGGUACCCAAAGAAUAAGCACCGGCUAACUUCGUG